rnacentral:rRNA from 1 species
ACUCAAAUGAAUUGACGGGGGCCCGCACAAGCAGCGGAGCGUGUGGUUUAAUUCGAGGCUACACGAAGAACCUUACCUGGGUUUGACAUGCAGGUGGUAGGGAAGUGAAAGCGGACCGACCGCAAGGAGCCUGCACAGGUGCUGCAUGGCUGUCGUCAGCUCGUGCCGUGAGGUGUUAGGUUAAGUCCUGUAACGAGCGCAACCCCCGGGUCCAGUUACACGUUGUCUGGACCGACUGCCCGUGACAAGCGGGAGGAAGGUGGGGAUGACGUCAAGUCAGCAUGGCCUUUAUAUCCAGGGCUACACACACGCUACAAUGGCCGGUACAAUGGGUCGCCAAGCCGCAAGGCGGAGCCAAUCCAGACAAAGCCGGUCACAGUUCGGAUUGUGGGCUGCAACCCGCCCACAUGAAGUCGGAGUUGCUAGUAACCGCCGGUCAGCCAUACGGCGGUGAAUACGUUCCCGGGCCUUGUACACACCGCCCGU